rnacentral:rRNA from 1 species
UGGGGAAUUUUGGACAAGGGGCGAAAGCCUGAUCCAGCAAUGCCGCGUGUGUGAAGAAGGCCUUCGGGUUGUAAAGCACUUUUGUCCGGAAAGAAAUCCUUGGCUCUAAUACAGUCGGGGGAUGACGGUACCGGAAGAAUAAGCACCGGCUAACUACGUGCCAGCAGCCGCGGUAAUACGUAGGGUGCAAGCGUUAAUCGGAAUUACUGGGCGUAAAGCGUGCGCAGGCGGUUUGCUAAGACCGAUGUGAAAUCCCCGGGCUCAACCUGGGAACUGCAUUGGUGACUGGCAGGCUAGAGUAUGGCAGAGGGGGGUAGAAUUCCACGUGUAGCAGUGAAAUGCGUAGAGAUGUGGAGGAAUACCGAUGGCGAAGGCAGCCCCCUGGGCCAAUACUGACGCUCAUGCACGAAAGCGUGGGGAGCAAACAGGAUUAGAUACCCUGGUAGUCCACGCCCUAAACGAUGUCAACUAGUUGUUGGGGAUUCAUUUCCUUAGUAACGUAGCUAACGCGUGAAGUUGACCGCCUGGGGAGUACGGUCGCAAGAUUAAAACUCAAAGGAAUUGACGGGGUCAUAGCUGUUUCCU